GACGAACGCUGGCGGCGUGCUUAACACAUGCAAGUCGAACGGAAAGACCCUGCGUUUGUUCCUUGCUCGAGUGCCGAACGCGUGUGUGACACGUGAGUAAACUGCCCCUAUCUUUGGGAUAUCUUCAGGAAACUCGGGCUCAUAUCGGAUAGAAUCUCCUGCUGCAUGGUGGGGGUUGGUAAGAUUCGGCGGUUGGGGAUGGACUAGCGGGUUAUGCGCUUGUUGGUGGGGUAGUGGCUGACGAAGGCUUUGAAGGGUAGCCGGCCUGGGAGGGUUACCGGCCACAUGGGGACUGAGAGAGGGCCCAGUCGCCUACGUGAGGCAGCGGGGGGGAAUAUGGCACAAUGGGGGGAAGCGAGAGGCAGCAACGUCGGGUGCGGGAUGACGGCCUACGGGGGGUAAACAGCUGUGGCCUGAGACGAAGCGGGAGUGACGGUAAUGGGUAAAGAAGCACCGGCUAACUACGUG
rnacentral:rRNA from 1 species